ensembl:snRNA U6 U6 spliceosomal RNA
GGUCCCCAUUGGCUCAAAAAAUAUUCUUCCUAGGAUACAGAGAAGAUGAACAUGGCCCCUGUGCUAGGAUGACAGAUUCGUGCAUCGUUCCAUAUUUUU